UCUAUUAGUAAUGGCGAAUGAACAUAGAAAGACCGUCGUCGAAUCGUGUUGCGAUACGUAACGCGAGGUGUGAUGUUGUGGCAUUGUUUCCAUCCAGGGCCAUUUGAGAAGUGGUGUGAUUUCGAUUGAAACCGGUAAACCCAGGGAAGGUGAAAGGCCUGUUUCGGCCACUAUCUUGGUCUGAUUACAAUUGCCGAUGAGUAGAAUUGCUUGAGAUCGCAGUUCCAAUAUGUGUGAUGAAUUCCACACAAGUCUCAGUAUUACUGCGAGACCGAUAGCGAACAAGUACCUUGAGGGAAAGUUGAAAAGCACUCUGAAAAGAGAGUUCAUAAGCGCGUGAAACUGCACAUUUUGAAGCGAAUGACUGGGUAAUAUUUUGGGUGCAAUCUGGCGUGUCCUAUGUCUGGUUCGGCCUGCGGUUUAGUUCGUUCAGGGUUGUCUUUUGCUCCCUGUGACAAUUUCUUUUCCGCAUUGAGCUCCAGCAUGGAGGCAUGUUUCUGAUUGUGUCCUGCGCUGCUUGCUAAGUUGAUCUGAAUGUUGGAUGCUGUCGAGAGGGAAUCUUUCCUUCGUGUUAUUCCUUUUGCUUAACGCGUCUGUAGUUACAAUGCUUUUGCGCUGUGAUGCAUUGCAUUGUUUAUCUGAUCAGCUUAGUAUUGAAUCGCCUUGCUGUGUGUGCUAAUUGUGCAAUUCUACAUUUGGUAUUGCUUGUCGGCGGCGAUUUUUACCGUUACUACGACGGUCAUAGUCGGCAAAUGGUGCCUUAUGUGUGCACUUGCUCCAGCGUGGUAUGACCAAAGCAGCUGUUUGAUUGCGCAGCAUUUGAACCGUCUUGAAACACGGACUAAGGAGUUCAACUUGGACGCGAGUCGUUUUUCCAGGAGGAUUUUGUUGAAAGGCGUAGUGAAAUCGACUUAGUAUGUAGAGAUGUUAACUGAUUGAUUGUACCUCCUUCUUCAUUGAUGGAUGGUACUUCAUUGAUGGCAAGCACGUGUGAUGAGUAGCACAUUAGUUCUAGUUGCUUACUGCACCUGAGCGUUCAGGUUGAGACCCGAAAGAUGGUGAACUAUGCCUGAGUAGAAUGAAGCCAGGAGAAAUUCUGGUGGAAGUUUGUAGCGGUUUUGACGUGCAAAUCAAUCGCCAAACUUGGGUAUAGGGGCGAAAGACUAAUCGAACCAUCUAGUUGCUGGUUCCCUCCGAAGU
rnacentral:rRNA from 1 species